AGAGUUUGAUCAUGGCUCAGAACGAACGCUGGCGGCGUGCCUAACACAUGCAAGUCGAACGAGAAAACGGACUUCGGUCUGUGAGUAAAGUGGCAGACGGGUGAGUAACACGUGGGUAACCUGCCCGAAGGUGGGGGAUAAUUCUUCGAAAGAGGGACUAAUACCGCAUGACAUCCCGGGAGUCUCGGCUCCUGGGAUCAAAGCUAGCCUCUACAUGUAAGCUAGUGCCAUCGGAGGGGCUCGCGGCCCAUUAGCUAGUUGGUGAGGUAACGGCUCACCAAGGCGACGAUGGGUAGCCGGCCUGAGAGGGCGAUCGGCCACACUGGAACUGAGACACGGUCCAGACUCCUACGGGAGGCAGCAGUGAGGAAUUUUGCGCAAUGGGGGAAACCCUGACGCAGCGACGCCGCGUGGAGGACGAAGGCCUUCGGGUCGUAAACUCCUGUCAAGUGGGACGAAGGCCGGAGGGAUGAAUAAGCCCUUCGGAUUGACGGUACCGCUGAAGGAAGCCCCGGCUAACUCCGUGCCAGCAGCCGCGGUAAUACGGAGGGGGCGAGCGUUGUUCGGAAUUAUUGGGCGUAAAGGGCGCGUAGGCGGUUUGGUUAGUCAGUCGUGAAAUCCCUCGGCUCAACCGAGGAAUUGCGAUUGAUACUGCCGAACUUGAGUCCCGGAGAGGGUAGUGGAAUUCCCAGUGUAGCGGUGAAAUGCGUAGAUAUUGGGAGGAACAUCGGUGGCGAAGGCGGCUACCUGGACGGGUACUGACGCUGAAGUGCGAAAGCGUGGGGAGCAAACAGGAUUAGAUACCCUAGUAGUCC
rnacentral:rRNA from 1 species